rnacentral:rRNA from 1 species
UACGUAGGGACCGAGCGUUGUCCGGAAUCAUUGGGCGUAAAGAGCGUGUAGGCGGCCACUUAAGUCCUGCGUGAAAUCUUGCGGCUCAACCGCAAGCGGUCGUGGGAAACUGGGUGGCUAGAGUGCGGGAGAGGAGAGUGGAAUUCCUGGUGUAGCGGUGGAAAUGCGCAGAUAUCAGGAGGAACACCGAUUGCGAAGGCAGCUCGCUGGGACGUUACUGACGCUGAGACGCGAAAGCGUGGGGAGCAAACAGG